AGCAUUGGCGCGAAUCUCAAGCCUGAUACUUCCGUCGAAUUUUCCCUCGAUUUCCUGGAUAAAUCGCGACGUGGCGAAAAUACUCGCAUUGGUGUUUGUCUGGAGGUUGAAAAUCCAUUGCAGGAACAUUUCACGACCAUUAGGAGAAGCUCGACACUCAUCUAGUGCGUCGAUGACAAUAAAUGUCCUUUGAUAAGAAGCUGCAAUUUUCUGUAGUGAACUCCGGAGCUCAUCCAGUGAAGGACGGGUAUUUACGCGUUUAUGUCGAUUAUAGAGGUCCUUUACAACUUCAACUACAGAAGGCUGUCCCUGAAGUAAUUGCUUUAACAGACUUGCAAUGAGAUCAGCCGGCUUCUGUUCCUGUUGUUGCUUGAAGUUGCAAUAUAGAUAUGCGAUCCCAACGGAAGGGUCAUUUUGAAAUCUCCUGUGAAGGUCGUGGACAACAAUAGAUGUGAUAAUUGUUUUGCCUGCCCCGGGUAUGCCUGGGCAGAAUAGAGUUUGUUUGGGUUCUCUGAGCCACUGUUGGAAUUUAUCUGAUUGCAAUAGCCAUUCUCCGGUACAUUCCUGUCGUUGGGAAAUCAAGUCAUUUUGCUGGGGAGCAUAAUUCAUUGGUGUGAGCCACUCAGAAAUGGUUUGAUGCUCUUGGUUUUGUUGGUGAGAAUGAAGUUGGUUGACGAUAUUGAUCACUCCUUCAAGUUGACCUGCGAAACCAUGGUUUGUUAGAAUUGCUGAGGCUUACGAAUACUCCGUCCAAGAAUCAUUGAUGUUAACCAACCAAACAGAAGAUUUAAAAAAUUGAUGGGCC
rnacentral:sRNA from 2 species